CAGUAGCCGCGGGAAAACAGAGGAUGCAAGCGUUAUCCGGAAUGAUUGGGCGUAAAGCGAGCGCAGGCGGUUAGAUAAGUCUGAAGUUAAAGGCUGUGGCUUAACCAUAGUACGCUUUGGAAACUGUUAAACUUGAGUGCAGGAGAGAAAAGUGGAAUUCCUAGCGUAGCGGUGAAAUGCGUAGAGAUUAGGAGGAACACCAGUGGCGAAGGCGGCUUUUCGGCCUGUAACUGACACUGAGGCGCGAAAGCGUGGGGAGCAAGCAGGAUUAGAUACCCCAGUAGUCCCUGUCUCUUAUACA
rnacentral:rRNA from 1 species